rnacentral:piRNA from 1 species
UCAAAAGGAAAAGGACGAGAGAA